AACGAACGCUGGCGGCAUGCCUAACACAUGCAAGUCGAACGAGACCUUCGGGUCUAGUGGCGCACGGGUGCGUAACGCGUGGGAACCUGCCCUUAGGUUCGGAAUAACUCCCCGAAAGGGGUGCUAAUACCGGAUAAUGUCUUCGGACCAAAGAUUUAUCGCCUUUGGAUGGUCCCGCGUUGGAUUAGCUGGUUGGUAGGGUAAAAGCCUACCAAGGCGACGAUCCAUAGCUGGUCUGAGAGGAUGAUCAGCCACACUGGGACUGAGACACGGCCCAGACGCCUACGGGAGGCAGCAGUGGGGAAUAUUGGACAAUGGGCGAAAGCCUGAUCCAGCAAUGCCGCGUGAGUGAUGAAGGCCUUAGGGUUGUAAAGCUCUUUUACCCGGGAUGAUAAUGACAGUACCGGGAGAAUAAGCUCCGGCUAACUCCGUG
rnacentral:rRNA from 1 species